rnacentral:rRNA from 1 species
UACGUAGGGUGCGAGCGUUAAUCGGAAUUACUGGGCGUAAAGCGUGCGCAGGCGGUUUUGUAAGCCAGAUGUGAAAUCCCCGGGCUUAACCUGGGAAUGGCAUUUGGGACUGCAAGGCUUGAGUGCGGCAGAGGAGACUGGAAUUCCUGGUGUAGCAGUGAAAUGCGUAGAUAUCAGGAGGAACACCGAUGGCGAAGGCAGGUCUCUGGGCUGACACUGACGCUCAUGCACGAAGCGUGGGGAG